AGUUGGCUUUAGUCAUAGGUGGAUAACGUCCGUCUCUGGUCUACCUCAAGCUACAGAGCUGCUUCCCCUGCUUCAACCGGUCUGUGAUAGAGCAAGGAGACCGAGGUACCCAGUACCGACGCAUUGGAAUCGGGAUUUUACACUGGGCUUAAAAAAUCGGACGGACGCACGGUUCCGCGGGCAGGCCCCAGCCCGGAGCCACGCGGACCGGAGGGUGGGGUUGCCCACCAACUCUCCACACUGCAACUUACCGGGCAGGGGCGAGAUUCCAGCGACCGCCCCUCGCCCGCCGCCGGAAACCCCUGUCUCCCACCUGGUCCCUGCGCGGCCUGCGGACCAACGAGGUACGCGCCGUGAAGUACUGCUCGAGCUCCGAGUCUGAGUCCUCUUGGCUGCAGUAGCCACUGCUUGUCGUGCUGCUCCAGGUCAUCUCGAAAGAAGGCGUUUCCGCCUCACCCAUCGCCGCGCCCGCCGAAUCCCCUAGUCCUGUAGGUCGGUAGCCUACUAACCACCGCCCGAGGCGCGUGCGUGCGUGUUAUCAGUGUGCGCUUGCGCCGGGGCCAGCGCCGCGUCGCAACCGUUAAGACUAAAAUGUCUACAGCCCGGAUCUAGCUCUUGUCUCAUUGGGGGACUAACUCUGAGGGGCGGGGACAAACGCGCUGAACCUCCAGGAAUGACCUCAUUGCCCAAGCAGCUCAACCCAGCUCCGCCUCGCAGGCCCCACCUGCCAGAGGGGACGUGUUGCAGCGUGUGCGCAUGUGCAGCAACUCCACCUAAGGACUGGAAGAGGUUGUGGGAAGUGCGCGUGCGCCUGGCGCGGGACCGCUUGUGUAGCAUCCUGGGGCAGUCGGCCAAGCCAGCGCGCAGAAUUGGCCACUCUGCUGUCGGAAAAUCGGUUAUUAGAACGAUUACUGAGCCAGGACCCAUGCUGUUCUCCAACGUCUGCGCUGUAGCCUGCCAGUCCGCGCGUCUCCCCCACCCCACCCCGGACGGCCUGGAGACUUCUCUCACCACGUUAGUGUCAUGUUCUAGCGCGGGUUCCCAGCCCAGGUCUCGGGGUCCGCAGCAGUCCAAGCAGACGAGAGCGCGGCAGCGGUAAUGGCAGGGAGGGCACCAGGCCAGAGGGAAGAGCAGGCACCCAGUUGUUCCUGAGGGAUAGGAUGGGUGAAGACUGGAAUGCUGCCUGCGAUUUUUGGGUACCUUCCCAUAGGUGACCAGCAGUUCCUGGAUGGGCUCUCCCUGGCUGACAGUGGCAUCAAGGAUGGCUUGCAUGUUCAGCUUCUCCAGGUUCUCGUGCUGCUGGUUCCACCUGUUCCAGAGGGCCCAAGCUUCCCGCAUUCAAGGACCUGGUGACUCCGCCUAAGUCAGCUGCCUCACCCUUCAGAGCCCAUCUCGCGCAGCGGGAAACUGCGCAAACCUCGCACCAGUACGUCAGCCUCUCCGGGCAGCAGCAGCUCCAGGUCGCCCAUGUUGGGGCCAGGAUUUGACUGACUUCGGGCAGCGGUUGGGGCGGAGGAGAUGACGCACUUUGGAAGGACAGACUCCUGCGAGACUGAAGUCUGGGACCGGACAGUUGCCUGUCGGUUGGGGCGCGUGGGUCCUCGCCGCCAUGGAAACAGCUCGGCGUCUGCGCAGUGAGGCCUGGGCCCACCCCUGUGGGCGGCUCGCGCCGUCUGGGGCCGCCCCCAGCCUGCCACGCCUACCCUAACAGUAACCCAAUUGCGAUUGUCAAAGCUUUCUCUCUCAUAACCAGGUGCGUCCACGAAGUCUCUCCUGAACUCUACCGACUCUUCCCGAAUGUUAAGUUAGCCUGUGACUCCUGUCAGCUCCUCCUGCAGCUGGGCCGUCUUGAUCCUCCCGGAUGUUCCUCUUCAUGACUUCCUCCUUAUCUUAUUUCUUGAGCCCAGCAUCACCAAUUGGAUCUACUCCCUAAGUACUGCCUAGGACUCACAGCUUCUCUCCAUUCUAUUUCAGACUGCCAUUACUUCAAUGCGGAUAGCUGCAGUAACCUUUUCACUAGAUCUACUUCCACUCUGUAGCCUUCCCAGCAGCAAGGAAUCUUAAAAGUGUACAUCAGAUAUUACUCCUUUGCAGGAGGGCAGUUCUGUGGUUGUCUCUGGUCUUCAAAAUACUGGGUCAGGGGCUGGGGUUGUGGCUCAGUGGUAGAGCGCUUACCUAGCACGUGUGAGGCACUGGGUUUGAUCCUCAGUACCACUAAAACUAAAUAAAUAAAAAUAAAGG